CCUACGGGAGGCAGCAGUGGGGAAUCUUGCGCAAUGGGCGAAAGCCUGACGCAGCAACGCCGCGUGCGGGAAGAAGGCUUUCGGGCUGUAAACCGCUUUCAGCAGGAACGAAAAUGACGGUACCUGCAGAAGAAGGAGCGGCCAACUAUGUGCCAGCAGCCGCGGUGAUACAUAGGCUUCAAGCGUUGUCCGGAUUUAUUGGGCGUAAAGAGUUCGUAGGCGGUCGAGUAAGUCGGGUGUGAAAAUUCUGGGCUCAACCCAGAGACGCCACCCGAUACUGCUUGACUUGAGUUCGAUAGGGGAGUGGGGAAUUCCUAGUGUAGCGGUGAAAUGCGCAGAUAUUAGGAGGAACACCGGUGGCGAAGGCGCCACUCUGGAUCGAUACUGACGCUGAGGAACGAAAGCAUGGGUAGCAAACAGGAUUAGAUACCCUGGUAGUCCAUGCCGUAAACGGUGGGCACUAGGUGUGGGUUUCUAUUAACGAAAUCCGCGCCGUCGCUAACGCAUUAAGUGCCCCGCCUGGGGAGUACGGUCGCAAGCUAAAACUCAAAGGAAUUGACGGCUGAGACCGNGCGAGCGACGACGAGGAGAG
rnacentral:rRNA from 1 species